CUUCUUUAAACCAGAGGAAGGAUACGGCAAUAACAGGUCUGUGAUGCCCUCAGAUGUUCCGGGCUGCACACGUGCUACAAUGAUCAUUGCACUGUGCAUCUAACCCAAUGUGCGCGGACGCCACGAUACGUAAUUGUCUUCGGGCAUUUUAUGUAUUCGCUUGUGCGACUGCGCCGAACCUACUUCGAAAGUAAAAUUUUUAAGUGGGUAAUCCAUUAGAAGUAAUGACUCGCAUAGACCAUGGCACACUAUAUGUACGCGCAGGUCUACCCGGCUCGCCUUUGUGUGAGUGCAGUGCGUAGCUUGUUGUUUCGUACGUGCCACUCCGUAUUAAUUCGUACGUGGGGAUAGAUCAUUGUUUAAUUGUUGGUCUCGGUCUUAACUAGGAAUGCCUUGUACGGGUCUUUGGUUCAACAUACCACCCGGAAUACGUCCCUGCCCUUUGUACACACCGCCCGUCGCUCUUACCGAUGGAUUAUACUAUGAAUCUAUAGGACUGCCAAAGCUUUGCGGCGUGUUCGCACACCGCGCUUAGUGGAAAUAUAUAUGAAUAGUG
rnacentral:rRNA from 1 species